UACGUAGGGGGCAAGCGUUGUCCGGAUUUAUUGGGCGUAAAGAGCGUGUAGGCGGCCAUACAGGUCCGUUGUGAAAACUGGAGGCUUAACCUCCAGACGUCGAUGGAAACCGUAUGGCUAGAGUCCGGAAGAGGAGAGUGGAAUUCCUGGUGUAGCGGUGAAAUGCGCAGAUAUCGGGAAGAACACCCGUGGCGAAGGCGGCUCUCUGGGACGGUACUGACGCUGAGACGCGAAAGCGUGGGAGCGAACAGG
rnacentral:rRNA from 1 species